GAUGAACGCUGGCGGCGUGCCUAAUACAUGCAAGUCGAGCGAACGGACGAGAAGCUUGCUUCUCUGAUGUUAGCGGCGGACGGGUGAGUAACACGUGGAUAACCUACCUAUAAGACUGGGAUAACUUCGGGAAACCGGAGCUAAUACCGGAUAAUAUUUUGAACCGCAUGGUUCAAAAGUGAAAGACGGUCUUGCUGUCACUUAUAGAUGGAUCCGCGCUGCAUUAGCUAGUUGGUAAGGUAACGGCUUACCAAGGCAACGAUGCAUAGCCGACCUGAGAGGGUGAUCGGCCACACUGGAACUGAGACACGGUCCAGACUCCUACGGGAGGCAGCAGUAGGGAAUCUUCCGCAAUGGGCGAAAGCCUGACGGAGCAACGCCGCGGGAGUGAUGAAGGUCUUCGGAUCGUAAAACUCUGUUAUUAGGGAAGAACAUAUGUGUAAGUAACUGUGCACAUCUUGACGGUACCUAAUCAGAAAGCCACGGCUAACUACGUGCCAGCAGCCGCGGUAAUACGUAGGUGGCAAGCGUUAUCCGGAAUUAUUGGGCGUAAAGCGCGCGUAGGCGGUUUUUUAAGUCUGAUGUGAAAGCCCACGGCUCAACCGUGGAGGGUCAUUGGAAACUGGAAAACUUGAGUGCAGAAGAGGAAAGUGGAAUUCCAUGUGUAGCGGUGAAAUGCGCAGAGAUAUGGAGGAACACCAGUGGCGAAGGCGACUUUCUGGUCUGUAACUGACGCUGAUGUGCGAAAGCGUGGGGAUCAAACAGGAUUAGAUACCCUGGUAGUCCACGCCGUAAACGAUGAGUGCUAAGUGUUAGGGGGUUUCCGCCCCUUAGUGCUGCAGCUAACGCAUUAAGCACUCCGCCUGGGGAGUACGACCGCAAGGUUGAAACUCAAAGGAAUUGACGGGGACCCGCACAAGCGGUGGAGCAUGUGGUUUAAUUCGAAGCAACGCGAAGAACCUUACCAAAUCUUGACAUCCUUUGACAACUCUAGAGAUAGAGCUUUCCCCUUCGGGGGACAAAGUGACAGGUGGUGCAUGGUUGUCGUCAGCUCGUGUCGUGAGAUGUUGGGUUAAGUCCCGCAACGAGCGCAACCCUUAAGCUUAGUUGCCAUCAUUAAGUUGGGCACUCUAAGUUGACUGCCGGUGACAAACCGGAGGAAGGUGGGGAUGACGUCAAAUCAUCAUGCCCCUUAUGAUUUGGGCUACACACGUGCUACAAUGGACAAUACAAAGGGCAGCGAAACCGCGAGGUCAAGCAAAUCCCAUAAAGUUGUUCUCAGUUCGGAUUGUAGUCUGCAACUCGACUACAUGAAGCUGGAAUCGCUAGUAAUCGUAGAUCAGCAUGCUACGGUGAAUACGUUCCCGGGUCU
rnacentral:rRNA from 1 species